UCGUGCUAAGCGGGGAGGUAGCGGUGCCCUGUACUCGCAAUCCGCUGUAGCGAGGCCGAAUCCCUUCUCGAGGUUGGUAGCCGUAAGGCCUGCCUUAAGUAAGUGGUGUUGACGUCUGGGUCCUACGCAACGGGAACCCACGAACCCUGUCAGGUCCGGAAGGAAGCAGCAGUAAGUGGAUCAUCUCGUGUGCCGUAGGGUCGCCUGGGCCGAGCUAACUGCUUAAGUAACGCUUAUGGCUGCCAUAUCGACAGAAGGUGCACGA
rfam:Bacillus azotoformans LMG 9581 contig36, whole genome shotgun sequence.